GACGAACGCUGGCGGCGUGCUUAACACAUGCAAGUCGUACGGUAAGGCCCUUUCGGGGGUACACGAGUGGCGAACGGGUGAGUAACACGUGAGUAACCUGCCCACAACUUUGGGAUAACGCUAGGAAACUGGUGCUAAUACUGGAUAUGUGCUCCUGCUGCAUGGUGGGGGUUGGAAAGCUCCGGCGGUUGUGGAUGGACUCGCGGCCUAUCAGCUUGUUGGUGGGGUAGUGGCCUACCAAGGCGGCGACGGGUAGCCGGCCUGAGAGGGUGACAGGCCACAUUGGGACUGAGAUACGGCCCAGACUCCUACGGGAGGCAGCAGUGGGGAAUAUUGCACAAUGGGCGCAAGCCUGAUGCAGCAACGCCGCGUGCGGGAUGACGGCCUUCGGGUUGUAAACCGCGUUCAGCAGGGACGAAGCUUUUUGUGACGGUACCUGCAGAAGAAGCACCGGCUAACUACGUG
rnacentral:rRNA from 1 species